CACUCUCUUACUCCAUCUACUUUGCGGCCUUGGAGGGGAAGGAGGAAGCCGGGCGGAGCCGGGGCGGGGGAGGUAGCGGUCCCGGGGAGGUGUUUCUCGCCCGACGAGCCGCCUCGAGUGCAGAAAGUACAGGUCCACCAGUUCCGCCCAGGUGGUGGCCAGCCUCGGAGACUUUGAAAGCGUCUUAAAAGUGGUCAAGGAAGUCAUUAGUCUGGCAUCCGUGAGACAAUGGAGGAAUGAAUAGCCGUGGCCUCCAGGAGCUGGGUUCUAGCUGGCUCCGGGCACAACCGCUCCAGCCUCCAGGGUUCCUGGCAAGUGGGCACAAGGAGAAGCAGGCCCCGCGCGCCCCCCGGGGAGAGCGCCUCCGGGACGGAGUCGGCCCUAGGAUGGGAGUCAGAGUCAGGAAGCUAAGACCCCACAAGGCCCCGCCGAUCCUCCAGGAAGGAAGCCAACAUCAGCGCCCAGCCUGGACCUGCACUCCUCGAGUAAAGAAGUCCGUGAACCCAGCCCUGCUUGUCACGGCUCCUGACUACAUUGAGAUGAGCGCCCCAAAAGGUGGAGUUAACCGAACGGGUGAGAAACUGCAGCGGUGAUUCACCUACAUAAGGUUUUUCCUGUGGGCCCUCUGGGCGGCUGAAAAUCUUUUCAGGUGGUAGAUUUGCAGGCUGUGGUGAGAGAAGAAGAAUGGAGAACAGGCAGGUUACCUUGGCUUCCUGUGUCACUGGAGCCUCUCGGAUGAUGCUGGACUCGAGGAGGCCUGAUGAUGGGCCUCUGCUAACCGGUGGGCUCAGGUGGGACAGACGGGUGAUCACAGCACUCCCUGAAAGAAUGCGGCAAGUUGACCUCUUCUCAACCCCACCGCCUUCCUCAUCCUUAUGCUAAUAAGGAAGGUGAAGUUGGGCGCGGAAAUCUGGUGAAGAACUUUGGCAGAUCACGGCCCCGGUGUGCCACGCAAGCUCUUUGGUGUGUUUCAAGAUGGCGGAGCAAUGUCUGAAACCAAAAGUUGAAGCCCAGUAAAAUGGGAAGUCUGAUUGAGCUCUUCCAAGUAGAACUAGCACUAUUAGGACAUUGGUCAAGAGUAGAUACUGUUCAGCGGCAAAGCUCAUCUCCCGAGAAGUGUGGAUUUUUCUGCCCAUUGAUUACUGAGUCAACCUAGAGCUGCUCACAUUGCCUGGGUGCGUUGUGAAGGCGUUAAGAGGCCGUAUCAGGAGCCGUCAGUAUUUCUCCAUUUAAAGUUUGGAACUUAUGAACCGUCUGGGGAUCAUUUCUUGUUUAAUGUUCACCUGAAACUACCCACCUUAACACUGGUAAUCAUAAUCUGUUUAGGGGAAUUUUCACACUGGCCUUGGAACUAUCUUAGUGCCUCAAGAGUUCUUACUGGAGUCUGAUAACGGGACAAUAAUAAUAAUUACUUCUGUGAUAGUAGGCAAUUGUAGGAGGUGUAAGCUGCUUUCCCCGUUGCUGAUUAUUUGCAUCAUCAUUAGUAAAAGGGCUAAAUUGCAUUAUGUGAAUAUAACCAAUGUUAACAUUUUUAUGGACUGUGUCUACAUUAUAUAACAUACUGAAGAAUUUUAUUUGUUGUACGAAUUUAGCUUUAAAAACCACUAAGUGUUGAGAACUGUACAUCAGCCUAUAUAUUUCUAACUGUAAAGUUGUCUGUAUAAAAUCAUAGGGUAUUGAUUUAAGGACAGAUCUUGGAAUAUCUAGUACAUUGACCUUGAAAGAAAAAAAAGAAGAAAACUCAUCUUAUUCUCAAUUAUGGUAUUACAUUAAUUAAAUAUUAUAUUCAAGUAUGUAGAAGAUGGCUUCCUAUCACCUCCAACCAAUAAACUGUGCCUUGAGUGGGCUAAGAACGAUUAUAUCUGUAAUUGAUAUACUUUACCUGUGUGUCUACUGACAUUAUCCUUGACCCUUUAUAGUGAAGAUACGAUUUGGAUUAUAGAGAUUCUUCAUACUCUCUCUAGUGCUUCAGAUAAUUAAAUUGUAAAGAGUAAA